GGGGGUGUAGCUCAGUUGGUUAGAGCGUCGGCCUGUCACGCCGAAGGUCGCCGGUUCAAGUCCGGUCAUCCUCGCCA
rnacentral:tRNA from 1 species